UAAGGUUGAAUGAUCUAAAUUUUGGAGAUG
rnacentral:piRNA from 1 species